rnacentral:tRNA from 1 species
GCACUGGAUUUAGGUUCCAGCGCCGCAAGGCGUGGAGGUUCGAGUCCUCUCCUGGGCACCA